CCUACGGGGGGCAGCAGUGGGGGAUAUUGCACAAUGGGCGCAAGCCUGAUGCAGCGACGCCGCGUGGAGGUAGAAGGUUUUCGGAUUGUAAACUCCUGUCUUCAGGGACGAUAAUUACGGUACCUGAGGCGGACGCCACGGCUAACUACGUGCCCGCAGCCGCGGUAAUUCGUAGGUGGCAAGCGUUGUCCGGAAUUACUGGGUGUAGAGGGAGCGUAGGCGGGACAGCAAGUCCAGUGUGAAAUCUAUCGGCACCACCGAGAGCUGCGCUGGAUACUGUGGUUCUUGAGUGAAGUAGAGGUAGGCGGAAUUCCCGGUGUAGCGGUGAAAUGCGUAGAGAUCGGAAGGAACACCAGUGGCGAAGGCGGCCUACUGAGCUUUGACUGACGCUGAGGCACGAAAGCAUGGGUAGCAAACAGGAUUAGAUACCCCGGUAGUC
rnacentral:rRNA from 1 species